UGGGGAAUUUUGGACAAUGGGGGAAGCCCUGAUCCAGCCAUCCCGCGUGUGCGAUGAAGGCCUUCGGGUUGUAAAGCACUUUUGGCAGGAAAGAAACGUCAUGGGUUAAUACCCCGUGAAACUGACGGUACCUGCAGAAUAAGCACCGGCUAACUACGUGCCAGCAGCCGCGGUAAUACGUAGGGUGCAAGCGUUAAUCGGAAUUACUGGGCGUAAAGCGUGCGCAGGCGGUUCGUAAAGAAAGAUGUGAAAUCCCAGAGCUCAACUUUGGAACUGCAUUUUUAACUACCGGGCUAGAGUGUGUCAGAGGGAGGUGGAAUUCCGCGUGUAGCAGUGAAAUGCGUAGAUAUGCGGAGGAACACCGAUGGCGAAGGCAGCCUCCUGGGAUAACACUGACGCUCAUGAACGAAAGCGUGGGGAGCAAACAGG
rnacentral:rRNA from 1 species